rnacentral:rRNA from 1 species
UACGUAGGGUGCAAGCGUUAAUCGGAAUUACUGGGCGUAAAGCGUGCGCAGGCGGUUUUGUAAGUCUGACGUGAAAUCCCCGGGCUCAACCUGGGAAUUGCGUUGGAGACUGCAAGGCUGGAGUCUGGCAGAGGGGGGUAGAAUUCCACGUGUAGCAGUGAAAUGCGUAGAGAUGUGGAGGAAUACCGAUGGCGAAGGCAGCCCCCUGGGACGUCACUGACGCUCAUGCACGAAAGCGUGGGGAGCAAACAGG